rnacentral:rRNA from 1 species
AUGAACGCUGGCGGCGUGCCUCAUACAUGCAAGUCGCGCGCACAGACGAGGAGCUUGCUCCUCUGACGUUAGCGGCGGACGGGUGAGUAACACGUGGAUAACCUACCUAUAAGACUGGGAUAACUUCGGGAAACCGGAGCUAAUACCGGAUAAUAUAUUGAACCGCAUGGUUCAAUAGUGAAAGACGGUUUUGCUGUCACUUAUAGAUGGAUCCGCGCCGCAUUAGCUAGUUGGUAAGGUAACGGCUUACCAAGGCGACGAUGCGUAGCCGACCUGAGAGGGUGAUCGGCCACACUGGAACUGAGACACGGUCCAGACUCCUACGGGAGGCAGCAGUAGGGAAUCUUCCGCAAUGGGCGAAAGCCUGACGGAGCAACGCCGCGUGAGUGAUGAAGGUCUUCGGAUCGUAAAACUCUGUUAUUAGGGAAGAACAAAUGUGUAAGUAACUAUGCACGUCUUGACGGUACCUAAUCAGAAAGCCACGGCUAACUACGUG